rnacentral:lncRNA from 10 species
GUGGGUAGGGGGAGGGAAGGAUCGAGGGAAGCUGGACUGUGUGACCUUGGCUGAAUCACUAUGUAAUCAGGCCACACCCUUGCUCAAUAGCCUUCAAUGACUCCCCAUGCCACAGGAUAAAGUCCCAAAAACUUAACCCUGAUCCAACCUACAAUUUCAUUUGGUUUACUACUCUACUCCACCCCUUCCCCAUGCUUCCUGAAAUGCAGCCUCAGAGGUCUCUGCUUGGUCUCUUUUCUUUUUUUUUUUCUUUUUCAUUGUUUUCUUCUUUGUUAUUCAACCAGAGCCAAGUCAGAAUCUUU